CGUAACACGUGAGCAACCUACCGAAAUGCGGGGGAUAGCCGGCCUAACGGCCGAGUAAUACCGCAUACGCUCUUUAUGAGGCAUUUCAUGGAGAGGAAACCUACGGGGUAUUUCGAGGGGCUCGCGGCCUAUCAGCUAGUUGGCGAGGUAACGGCUCACCAAGGCAACGACGGGUAGCUGGUCUGAGAGGAUGGCCAGCCACAUUGGGACUGAGAUACGGCCCAG
rnacentral:rRNA from 1 species